rnacentral:rRNA from 1 species
AUUGAACGCUGGCGGCAUGCCUUACACAUGCAAGUCGAGCGGCAGCACGGGUGCUUGCACCUGGUGGCGAGUGGCGAACGGGUGAGUAAUACAUCGGAACAUGUCCUGUAGUGGGGGAUAGCCCGGCGAAAGCCGGAUUAAUACCGCAUACGAUCUACGGAUGAAAGCGGGGGACCUUCGGGCCUCGCGCUAUCGGGUUGGCCGAUGGCUGAUUAGCUAGUUGGUGGGGUAAAGGCCUACCAAGGCGACGAUCAGUAGCUGGUCUGAGAGGACGACCAGCCACACUGGGACUGAGACACGGCCCAGACUCCUACGGGAGGCAGCAGUGGGGAAUUUUGGACAAUGGGCGAAAGCCUGAUCCAGCAAUGCCGCGUGUGUGAAGAAGGCCUUCGGGUUGUAAAGCACUUUUGUCCGGAAAGAAAUCCUUGGCUCUAAUACAGUCGGGGGAUGACGGUACCGGAAGAAUAAGCACCGGCUAACUACGUG